rnacentral:rRNA from 1 species
AUUGAACGCUGGCGGCAUGCUUUACACAUGCAAGUCGAACGGUAACAGGUUAAGCUGACGAGUGGCGAACGGGUGAGUAAUGCAUCGGAACGUGCCCGAUCGUGGGGGAUAACGCAGCGAAAGCUGCGCUAAUACCGCAUACGAUCUGAGGAUGAAAGCGGGGGACCGUAAGGCCUCGCGCGAUCGGAGCGGCCGAUGUCAGAUUAGGUAGUUGGUGGGGUAAAGGCUCACCAAGCCAACGAUCUGUAGCUGGCCUGAGAGGACGACCAGCCCAACUGGGACUGAGACACGGCCCAGACUCCUACGGGAGGCAGCAGUGGGGAAUUUUGGACAAUGGGCGAAAGCCUGAUCCAGCAAUGCCGCGUGCAGGAAGAAGGCCUUCGGGUUGUAAACUGCUUUUGUCAGGGAAGAAACGGUGAAGGCUAAUAUCCUUUGCUAAUGACGGUACCUGAAGAAUAAGCACCGGCUAACUACGUGCCAGCAGCCGCCGUAA